rnacentral:rRNA from 1 species
GUUGAUCCAAUUGAACCGCAGGCUUCACCCCUUGUGGUGCUCCCCCGCCAAUUCCUUUAAGUUCAUACUUGCGUACGUACUUCCCAGGCGGCAGACUUAACGGCUUCCCUGCGGCACUGCAUUGGCCACAAGCCAAUGCAUCACCGAGUCUGCAUCGUUUACAGCUGGGACUACCCGGGUAUUUUAAUCCGGUUUGCUCCCCCAGCUUUCAUCCCUCACCGUCGAGCGUGUUCUGGUACACCGUCUUCGCCACAGGUGGUCUUCAAUAGAUCCAAAANAAAGGGCACUUUUU